rnacentral:rRNA from 1 species
AGAGUUUGAUCAUGGCUCAGAAUCAACGCUGGCGGCGCGCUUAACACAUGCAAGUCGCACGAGAAAGUGGAGCAAUCCAUGAGUACAGUGGCGUACGGGUGAGUAACACGUGGAUUAUCUACCUUUUAGUGGGGAAUACCUCCGGGAAACUGGAGACAAUACCGCAUAAGCUCGAAAGAGGAAAGCAGCAAUGCGCUGAAAGAGGAGUCCGCGGUCGAUUAGCUUGAUGGCGGGGUAAUGGCCCACCAUGGCGAAGAUCGAUAGCCGGCCUGAGAGGGCUCACGGCCACACUGGCACUGAAACACGGGCCAGACUCCUACGGGAGGCAGCAGUGGGGAAUCUUGCACAAUGGAGGAAACUCUGAUGCAGCGACGCCGCGUGAGUGAUGAAGCCCUUCGGGGUGUAAAGCUCUUUCGACGGGAACGAUAAUGACGGUACCCGAAGAAGAAGCUGCGGCUAACUACGUGCCAGCAGCCGCGGUAAUACGUAGGCAGCAAGCGUUGUUCGGAAUUACUGGGCGUAAAGAGUGUGUAGGCGGUGCUCUAAGUCUGUCGUGAAAUCUCCCGGCUUAACUGGGAGGGUGCGGCGGAUACUAUUGUGCUAGAGGGUGGGAGAGGUAAGCGGAAUUCCUGGUGUAGCGGUGAAAUGCGUAGAUAUCAGGAGGAACACCUGCGGUGUAGACAGCUUACUGGACCACUUCUGACGCUGAGACACGAAAGCGUGGGUAGCAAACAGGAUUAGAUACCCUAGUAGUCC